ensembl:lncRNA
CAAUUAUUUAUGUAGUUGUGCACAUUCUUUAGUCUGUGUCUGUCUGUGUUUGUCUGCUUAUGACUUCAGACUAAUGCUAGUUCUGCACAGAAUUUAAUUGUAGACAAAAGCUCAAAAUACGUAGAUAGAGGGUCAGAUAGAUAAAUAAAUAAACAUAUUAUCUCAGAAUAACUACAUCAAUAUCAAGAGUAAAGCCCCUUUUGUCACUGCAUAUGCAGCAGCUCUGUAGAGAAUAGCCUGUUCUUUGUUGCCAUCCAAGGAGACAUCAUUUUAUUCGACACCCAUGGAGCUGCACAAAUAAGAGUCAGCAGGCAUCAAGCCAUCCUCCUGGAAAAAAAAUUGGCAUCUCCCUCUCUGGCACAUCUGGUUUAAUCCUAUUUGGCAUUGGCUGUGCAGUAAACAAUGCUGUGGAAGUUGGAAAUGAAAAGUAGAAGAAUGUGGGAAGGCGCUGAACAGAAGCAGAGGAAGAGACGCACAUAGUUAAGACACUUCGCUCUGGAGCAGCUGGAUAGCACAGUGGCAUAGGACUCACAAGUUGCAAGAAAGGCUGUUCCCCUUUAAAUGGAUUGAAUCAGGCAGGACUGCAGGGAGAGACCCGCAACAAACUCUCAGAUACCCUAUUAAGUGGGCUUGGUUGAAACCUCAUCUCACCAAUGAGCUAUGGAAGUACUACAUCUUUCUGAGGAAGAAGCUCGUCAUUUGCCUUCACAAAGCAAGUUAAAAUGGCACGAAGAAUCAGGAAACUUGUCAGCUGAGUUUUUACUUACCCUGUGAGACCAUUCUUUAGGAAAAAGAAGUUGUAUAUGGGCUGCUGAGGACUCCUUGAUAAUUAAUGACUGCUGGACAGACCCAAAACCUGAAAUGACCAGACAGACCAGUGUCCAACUUAAAAUACUACAGAUUCUGCAGGACGAGUGUUCAAGAGAGAAAAGUAUUAAAACAACACAUGCUUCAUGAAGACCAAGACAAGGAAUAAACAGACAGUGCUAGAGCCAAGAAAAGAAGUAGUUACCGUGCAAAAAUUUAGGUGACAUACAAAUACACUAAUAAUUCAAAAAGCUUUCUCACAGCCAACAUACAACUUCAACUGCUGGCUGUCUCCCUGCUCUUAUGAUCUUUCCAAUCCUCAUUGACCACAAGGGAAUUAGUUGGCCAGUUUCUAAAGAGAAAUCCAGGUGUUAGGCCUUCCUUGCUCCUACACCACCAAACAUCAGGAUCCAGAAGCAUUCUCAAUUCAGUGUCAAUGACAGGAUCUGAGCCCUGGAAAAUGCAAUUAUGGCCACUUUUCUUUACAGAAGAUGUAAGAGUGCUCUUAGUGCACACUAUAGACACUGUGGACAAAGAUUUCAGCAUUCACCUCACAGCUCCUCUAUCAGAUUGGAACAUGCUUCCACCUCUUUACAGCAAAGUCUCUUAGACACGUGACUAUAGAAUCUUCCAUAAUGAGAACCCUUUAGCUCUGUUGCUCUUCGCUACACAGAAAAGAGGUCAAAAUUCAAGAGAUUCUAAGUAUCUUGCAGGAUUUCUUGCCCUGGGAUGUUCCAAAGACCAGUGCCUUCUUCAAGAAUACUUACUUCAUUGUAUCAUCUAUCACUAUGGCACUAUGUGACACCAGGAGAGAUACUGCAACUGCUGUUUCAAUACCAAGAAAUCAUGUCAAAAUGAACAAACAAAUCAAAUGAAAAGGUUCUCCAGUGGUUCUUGUACCAAAAGAAGAGCCCUAUCCUUGCUCAGGUUUUGGAAGAUGAGAAGUGAGCAGUAUGAACUUGAAGAAUGAGCUUGAUCAGAGAGAGGCAUUUGCCUGUGAGCCAGAACCAGGCUCCUGCCAUCUGCACCCAGCGCAGCAUUGAUGCCAAGUGGAGGCUGUUUCCCUGUCCCUGGCUGAAGUCAUUGCAUUGAAGGGCCUAAAACUUCUGGGCACUCUAUAGGCAAUUGAUGGACAUGAUAUAAAUACUCUGUGUGAUUUAGGCUGCAUUAUGCCAAUUAUGUUAAUUCAUGGUCUGAUUUUCAGGAUCAAAACUGCAUAUGUCCUUCCAGUAAGGCUGUCUGUAAGGUCUAAUUCCAGGUUUUGAACCUUUCUCCAGAUGACUAGGGUCAUAAAUACAUAGCAUCAAGUUUCUAAUUCUACAAUAUUAAGUUCCUAAUACACUGCAAAGCUCUUGAAAAUGUUGUCUGUGGGUUUUGCUUAAUAUGUGAGACCUAUUUGAAAAUGCUGGCAAUAUGUUUACGCUUGAAUUACAUUCUCCUUCAUGAGUUGUGCAAUUUGAGUUGCCUGAGCGUCUUCUUUCUUUCUUUAAUAAACCUGUUUUAUUGAAAUGAAGAUCAUGAAAUAGGAAGGGAGGCUCAAAAGAUAUUUAAAAGUGACCUACUGCUAAUGAUAUCAGGUACAUAAACUUUUAUAGAAGGCUUUCACUCACACAUGAAUCACUGGUGCUUGCUGCAUGCUAGGUAAAAAAAUCAGACGUGGUAUACAUUGCAAAAACUGUGGAAAGGAAGCAUUUUAUUCUUUGUUAUUAUGAUUUCCCCAUUUAUAAGGAUGCUGAAUACAAAUCAUUACACAUCCAUGAAUGUCAG